AGUUGGUGGGGUAAAGGGCCCAACCAAGACUAUGAUGUGUAGCCGGGCUGAGAGGUUGAACGGCCACAUUGGGACUGAGACACGGCCCAAACUCCUACGGGAGGCAGCAGUAGGGAAUUUUCGGCAAUGGAGGAAACUCUGACCGAGCAACGCCGCGUGAACGAUGAAGUAUUUCGGUACGUAAAGUUCUUUUAUUAGGGAAGAAUAAAUGAUGGAAAAAUCAUUCUGACGGUACCUAAUGAAUAAGCCCCGGCUAACUAUGUGCCAGCAGCCGCGGUAAUACAUAGGGGGCAAGCGUUAUCCGGAAUUAUUGGGCGUAAAGGGUGCGUAGGCGGUUAAAUAAGUUUAUGGUCUAAGUGCAAUGCUUAACAUUGUGAUGCUAUAAAAACUGUUUAGCUAGAGUAAGAUAGAGGCAAGUGGAAUUCCAUGUGUAGUGGUAAAAUGCGUAAAUAUAUGGAGGAACACCAGUAGCGAAGGCGGCUUGCUGGGUCUUUACUGACGCUGAGGCACGAAAGCGUGGGGAGCAAACAGGAUUAGAUACCCUGGUAGUCCACGCCGUAAACGAUGAGUACUAAAUGUUGGGUAAAACCAGUGUUGAAGUUAACACAUUAAGUACUCCGCCUGAGUAGUACGUACGCAAGUAUGAAACUUAAAGGAAUUGACGGGACUCCGCACAAGCGGUGGAUCAUGUUGUUUAAUUCGAAGGUACCCGAAAAACCUCACCAGGUCUUGACAUGCUUCUGCAAAGCUGUAGAAACACAGUGGAGGUUAUCAGUUGCACAGGUGGUGCAUGGUUGUCGUCAGCUCGUGUCGUGAGAUGUUGGGUUAAGUCCCGCAACGAGCGCAACCCUUAUUGUUAGUUGCCAGCACGUAAUGGUGGGGACUUUAGCAAGACUGCCAGUGAUAAAUUGGAGGAAGGUGGGGACGACGUCAAAUCAUCAUGGCCCUUAUGACCUGGGCUACAAACGUGAUACAAUGGCUGUUACAAAAGGGGUAGCUG
rnacentral:rRNA from 1 species